AGUGCCGGGAGGUGGCAUCAGGUGCUAACUCGUUUCCUGAUAUCAUCACCCAGCAUCGC
rnacentral:pre_miRNA from 1 species